AUUGGACGCUGGCGGCAUGCCUAACACAUGCAAGUCGAACGGUAACGACAUCUAGCUUGCUAGAUGGGCGACGAGUGGCGGACGGGUGAGUAAUACGUAGGAAUCUACCUUGAAGUUGGGGAUAACUCGGGGAAACUCGGGCUAAUACCGUUAUACCUAGUUUACUAGAAAGGGGGCCUCUAUUUAUAAGCUUUCGCUUUAAGAUGAGCCUACGUCCGAUUAGCUUGUUGGUAGGGUAAUGGCCUACCAAGGCGACGAUCGGUAGCUGGUCUGAGAUGAUGAACAGCCACACUGGGACUGAGACACGGCCCAGACUCCUACGGGAGGCAGCAGUGGGGAAUAUUGGACAAUGGGCGAAAGCCUGAUCCAGCGAUGCCGCGUGUGUGAAGAAGGCCCUUGGGUUGUAAAGCACUUUAGUUGGGGAAGAAAACGCUUGAGCUAAUAUCUCAAGUUAUUGACGUUACCCAAAGAAUAAGCACCGGCUAACUCUGUGCCAGCAGCCGCGGU
rnacentral:rRNA from 1 species